UCAAAGAGUCAGGUUGUUUGGGAAUGCAGCCUAAAUUGGGUGGUAAAUCUCACCUAAAGCUAAAUAUUUGCGAGAGACCGAUAGCGAACAAGUACCGUGAGGGAAAGAUGAAAAGAACUUUGAAAAGAGAGUUAACAGUAUGUGAAAUUGUUAAAAGGGAACCGUUUGGAGCCAGACUGGUUUGCCUGUAAUCAACCUAGAAUUCGUUUUGGGUGCACUUGCAGGCUAUACCUGCCAACAACAGUUUGAUUUGGAGGAAAAAAUUAGUAGGAAUGUAGCCUCUCGAGGUGUUAUAGCCUACUAUCAUACUCUGGAUUGGACUGAGGAACGCAGCGAAUGCCUUUAGGCAAGAUUGCUGGGUGCUUUCGCUAAUAAAUGUUAGAAUUUCUGCUUCGGGUGGUGCUAAUGUUUAAAGGAGGAACACAUCUAGUAUAUUUUUUAUUCGCUUAGGUUGUUGGCUUAAUGACUCUAAAUGAC
rnacentral:rRNA from 1 species